GGCAUAGUAGCUCAGUUGGUCAGAGCGCUCGGCUCAUACCCGGGAGGUCACUGGUUCGAACCCAGUCUAUGCUA
rfam:Clostridium sp. CAG:306 genomic scaffold, scf71